UACGGGAGGGGGCUAGCGUUGUUCGGAAUUACUGGGCGUAAAGCGCACGUAGGCGGCUUUGCAAGUUAGAGGUGAAAGCCCGGGGCUCAACUCCGGAAUUGCCUUUAAAACUGCAUCGCUAGAAUUGUGGAGAGGUAAGUGGAAUUCCGAGUGUAGAGGUGAAAUUCGAUUAGAUAUCGGGAGGAACACCAGAGGCGAAGGCGGCGAACUGGACAGUAACUAGACACUCAACUGCGAAAGCGUGGGGAGCAAACAGGG
rnacentral:rRNA from 1 species